CCUACGGGAGGCAGCAGUGGGGAAUCUUGCGCAAUGGGCGAAAGCCUGACGCAGCAACGCCGCGUGCGGGAUGACGGCCUUCGGGUUGUAAACCGCUUUCAGUGGGGACGAACCAAGACGGUACCCACAGAAGAAGCCCCGGCCAACUACGUGCCAGCAGCCGCGGUAACACGUAGGGGGCAAGCGUUGUCCGGAUUCAUUGGGCGUAAAGAGCUCGUAGGCGGUUCGAUAAGUCGGGUGUGAAACCUCCAGGCUCAACCUGGAGACGCCACCCGAUACUGUCGUGACUAGAGUCCAGUAGGGGAGCGUGGAAUUCCUGGUGUAGCGGUGAAAUGCGCAGAUAUCAGGAGGAACACCAGCGGCGAAGGCGGCGCUCUGGGCUGGAACUGACGCUGAGGAGCGAAAGCGUGGGGAGCGAACAGGAUUAGAUACCCUGGUAGUCCACGCCGUAAACGUUGGGUACUAGGUGUGGGGUCUUAUCAACGGAUUCCGUGCCGCAGCUAACGCAUUAAGUACCCCGCCUGGGGAGUACGGCCGCAAGGCUAAAACUCAAAGGAAUGACGGAAUCGUCGACCUGCNNNC
rnacentral:rRNA from 1 species